rnacentral:rRNA from 1 species
UAGUACCUACGGGGCGCAGCAGUGGGGAAUAUUGCACAAUGGGGGAAACCCUGAUGCAGCGACGCCGCGUGAGUGAAGAAGUAAUUCGUUACGUAAAGCUCUAUCAGCAGGGAAGAAAAUGACGGUACCUGAGUAAGAAGCCCCGGCUAACUACGUGCCAGCAGCCGCGGUAAUACGUAGGGGGCAAGCGUUAUCCGGAUUUACUGGGUGUAAAGGGAGCGAAGGCGGCCACGCAAGUCAGAAGUGAAAACCCGGG